UAAAUAAUAAUAAUACACACUUUUGGUAUUUUUUAGGAUCCCGUACUCGAAGGGUGACAACGGGACCUAUUACUAAGCCUUCGCUGUCCGUCCGUCCAUCCGUCCUU